rnacentral:rRNA from 1 species
UACGUAGGGUGCGAGCGUUAAUCGGAAUUACUGGGCGUAAAGCGUGCGCAGGCGGUUUUGUAAGCCAGAUGUGAAAUCCCCGGGCUUAACCUGGGAAUGGCAUUUGGGACUGCAAGGCUUGAGUGCGGCAGAGGAGACUGGAAUUCCUGGUGUAGCAGUGAAAUGCGUAGAUAUCAGGAGGAACACCGAUGGCGAAGGCAGGUCUCUGGGCUGACACUGACGCUGAGGCGCGAAAGCUAGGGGAGCAAACAGG